rnacentral:lncRNA from 1 species
CAAGAAUCAUUUGCAUUACCGUGAGCUGUUUAUAACUUCUACCCACAGAGAGCUGUAAAAUAGCCCAGCUGAUUGAAGUCAGCCAAAGGUACUCAUCUUGGUAAGAGUAGGUAAUCCCUGGAGAUCCACGGGAUAAUACACAGUACUCCAGGGAGAGGACACCCAGUGCUUGGCUUUGUUUGUUUCCAAGUCUUUGUCAGUUUUUGCUGACACCACAAACCCUCCUCUGGUUUCCCUGGUGACAGGGCCGCCUGACUCUCUCCCUUCUGUUUCUCGUCUGUCCUUACGGCAUAAGCUCCAUGUCCAUCUUCCCUCUGGGCUCUUCCCUUUGGUUCCAAAGAGCUUAUUGUAGAAGUUAAAAAAAAAAAAAAACAUACAGUAAAGAGAUUAGCAUAAUCCUAAUUAUCCUCUAGGCAAUGCAGAAAAGAAAAAAACAUAAGGAUAAACAUAUUGAGAUUUGCUCUUGCUCCAGCACAAUUCCCUGAAAGACUUCUUCUAAGCCUGGUAUCCUGGGAGUGGCAGUGUUUUCAGCGUGGCAGACGGAGCAGUCAGGAAGCUGGGAGCCCAAACAGCAUGAGACAAAGCCGCGAAACAGAGGCCGUGCAUCUGUCGGUUGCCUCUCUCUGGUCACCCUCCUCUAGCCACAUAGUGCCGGUGCUAUGUGCCAGACAUACUCCAAUGAACAAGAUCCCUAGAGUAUCUGCUCUACUUUGGCUUAAAUCCUCAGGGAAGGGGCAGAACUAAAGAUGGAGCCCAUUCCUGAUGGGCUGUGGGCCGCCUAUGGAGUCUAUGAACAG